GAGACCGUGUAUGUGCACGUGUCUGUGAGUGUGUGUGUGUGUGUGUGUGUGUGCGUGCACGCACAUGCUACCAGAACAGCGGCCUUUGCUCAGG
rnacentral:miRNA from 1 species